AUCUUCGGAUUGGAGCCCUCGGGAGCAGCGAUGCUUCCUUGGGAAUUCGAGAAGUUGCUCUAACUGAAUUAUUUAGAGGAAGUAAAAGUCGUAACAA
rnacentral:rRNA from 1 species